UGGGGAAUAUUGGACAUUGGGCGAAAGCCUGAUCCAGCCAUGCCGCGUGUGUGAAGAAGGUCUUCGGAUUGUAAAGCACUUUAAGUUGGGAGGAAGGGCAUUAACCUAAUACGUUAGUGUUUUGACGUUACCGACAGAAUAAGCACCGGCUAACUCUGUGCCAGCAGCCGCGGUAAUACAGAGGGUGCAAGCGUUAAUCGGAAUUACUGGGCGUAAAGCGCGCGUAGGUGGUUUGUUAAGUUGGAUGUGAAAUCCCCGGGCUCAACCUGGGAACUGCAUUCAAAACUGACUGACUAGAGUAUGGUAGAGGGUGGUGGAAUUUCCUGUGUAGCGGUGAAAUGCGUAGAUAUAGGAAGGAACACCAGUGGCGAAGGCGACCACCUGGACUAAUACUGACACUGAGGUGCGAAAGCGUGGGGAGCAAACA
rnacentral:rRNA from 1 species